AAGUCGGUGGUUCAGUGGUAGAAUACUCGCCUGCCACGCGGGUGGCCCGGGUUCGAGUCCCGGCCGACGCA
rfam:Ixodes scapularis strain Wikel colony gcontig_1108378742872, whole genome shotgun sequence.